UACGGGGGGGCAAGCGUUGUUCGGAAUUACUGGGCGUAAAGGGCUCGUAGGCGGCCAACUAAGUCAGACGUGAAAUCCCUCGGCUUAACCGGGGAACUGCGUGUGAUACUGGAUGGCUUGGAUUUGGGAGAGGAAUGCGGAAUUCCAGGUGUAGCGGUGAAAUGCGUAGAUAUCUGGAGGAACACCGGUGGCGAAGGCGGCAUUCUGGACCAAUAUUGACGCUGAGGAGCGAAAGCCAGGGGAGCAAACGGGG
rnacentral:rRNA from 1 species